UUCUUCAGGGCAGGGUGCAAUUCCCUACCGGCGGUAAAGCCCGCGAGCCGAUCUCCCCUUGGGGAGGGACGCAUGAUCCGAUGAAACUCCGGAGCCGACAGUACAGUCUGGAUGAAAGAAGAA
rnacentral:ncRNA from 1 species